rnacentral:rRNA from 1 species
GGGCCAGACUCCUACGGGAGGCAGCAGUGGGGAAUAUUGGACAGUGGGGGGAACCCUGAUCCAGCGACGCCGCGUGAGUGAAGAAGUAUUUCGGUAUGUAAAGCUCUAUCAGCAGGGAAGAAGAAAUGACGGUACCUGACUAAGAAGCCCCGGCUAACUACGUGCCAGCAGCCGCGGUAAUACGUAGGGGGCAAGCGUUAUCCGGAUUUACUGGGUGUAAAGGGAGCGUAGACGGCCAUUCAAGCCAGAUGUGAAAGCCCGGGGCUCAACCCCGGGACUGCAUUUGGAACUGUGUGGCUAGAGUGUCGGAGAGGCAGGCGGAAUUCCUAGUGUAGCGGUGAAAUGCGUAGAUAUUAGGAGGAACACCAGUGGCGAAGGCGGCCUGCUGGACGAUGACUGACGUUGAGGCUCGAAAGCGUGGGGAGCAAACAGGAUUAGAUACCCUAGUA